rnacentral:rRNA from 1 species
GACGAACGCUGGCGGCGUGCUUAACACAUGCAAGUCGAGCGGUAAGGCCCUUUCGGGGGUACGACGAGCGGCGAACGGGUGAGUAACACGUGGGUGACCCGCCCUCAGCUCUGGGAUAAGCCUGGGAAACCGGGUCUAAUACUGGAUAUGACUCCAUGACGCAUGUUGUGGGGUGGAAAGCCUUGUGCGGCUGAGGAUGGGCCCGCGGCCUAUCAGCUUGUUGGUGGGGUGAUGGCCUACCAAGGCGACGACGGGUAGCCGGCCUGAGAGGGCGACCGGCCACACUGGGACUGAGACACGGCCCAGACUCCUACGGGAGGCAGCAGUGGGGAAUCUUGCGCAAUGGGCGAAAGCCUGACGCAGCGACGCCGCGUGAGGGAUGACGGCCUGGUUGUAA